rnacentral:rRNA from 1 species
UUUUUAUGGAGAGUUUGAUCCUGGCUCAGGACGAACGCUGGCGGCGUGCCUAACACAUGCAAGUCGAACGGAAUUUCGCGGGUUCGAGGUUCGAGAAUUCGAGGAUCGAAGUAUGAUGAAGCAAUUGAUAGAUCAAUUGCUAACAUUAAAAUCGAACUUCGAGCAAUCGAACCUCGAACUAGCGAAUUCAGUGGCGAACGGGUGAGUAACGCGUAGACAACCUGCCUCUAAGCUGGGGACAACA